UGUUGUUUUAGAUGAUGGACCACUCUACUUCCUUUUACAACAGGUGCCACUACAGAUUCACAGUUUCCAAUUUUGAGUUUCCAUGACUAUUCAUCCAUGAGAGUAAAAGGAAUAAAGUUGACAGGACUUAUUUCCGCAAUUUCCCUGGUAGCAGCUUAUGAUGGAACCAACAGCAGUAGACAAACCCCACUUUAUCAAAGAUGCAGUGGCACUGUCUCCAUUACUGGUGAAAUGGAAUAUGACUAGUGGACAGUCAUCACUUUAUAACUCACCAACACAAUUAGUAUGUGGCCCAUCUCUGCUCAUCUCCAAUGGUGGUCUCCAGAGGAAUGGUUGCAGUGCAGUCUUUGUGUCCUGGGCAGGUAACUUCCUUUCCUUUGUUU